GUAUUGGUGGUUCAGUGGUAGAAUUCUCGCCUGCCACACCGGAUGCCUGGGUUCCAUUCCCGGCCAAUGCA
rnacentral:tRNA from 1 species